UACGAAGGGGGCUAGCGUUGCUCGGAAUUACUGGGCGUAAAGGGAGCGUAGGCGGAUAGUUUAGUCAGAGGUGAAAUCCCGGGGCUCAACCUCGGAACUGCCUUUGAUACUGGCUAUCUUGAGUAUGGGAGAGGUGUGUGGAACUCCGAGUGUAGAGGUGAAAUUCGUAGAUAUUCGGAAGAACACCGGUGGCGAAGGCGGUGAGCUGGGCAGUAGCUGACACUGAGGCGCGACAGCGUGGGGAGCAAACAGG
rnacentral:rRNA from 1 species